UCUGGUUACCAAAAGUGCUGUUUGUGCAGGUAGAAGUCACCAGCUACUGCAAAACCAGCACUUCAGGUAAACUGAU
rnacentral:pre_miRNA from 19 species